CUCAAUCAGCUGGAAGAGAGUUGGGAACCUCAAGUGAAGUGGUUCAGUUCAGCUAGCUGAAUGAGCUAGCUAGACAGCUAAGGCAGCUGAGACAAAGAGCUAUCAAGCUCCGUGGAUGUGGCAAAGGAUCAACCUUGGAGCUGGUAGUAGUUGUGUCUACUGAUCAUGGCUAAGGUGAUUCGACCUGACAAGUAUUAGAUUGGUUUUAGACCAAUGGUUGAUAGAUAAUAUUCCGCUGUGCAUAAGUUGAAAGGAUCUAAGCUAGGGAAUGACUAAGGGUAUGGACUGAGCGACGUGAGGCAUCGACCGCGGCCUAGCCGGCCGGGUUCGGGUCUU